UGGGGAAUAUUGCACAAUGGGCGCAAGCCUGAUGCAGCCAUGCCGCGUGUAUGAAGAAGGCCUUCGGGUUGUAAAGUACUUUCAGCGGGGAGGAAGGCGAUAAGGUUAAUAACCUUGUCGAUUGACGUUACCCGUAGAAGAAGCACCGGCUAACUCCGUGCCAGCAGCCGCGGUAAUACGGAGGGUGCAAGCGUUAAUCGGAAUUACUGGGCGUAAAGCGCACGCAGGCGGUUUGUCAAGUCGGAUGUGAAAUCCCCGGGCUCAACCUGGGAACUGCAUUCGAAACUGGCAGGCUAGAGUCUUGUAGAGGGGGGUAGAAUUCCAGGUGUAGCGGUGAAAUGCGUAGAGAUCUGGAGGAAUACCGGUGGCGAAGGCGGCCCCCUGGACAAAGACUGACGCUCAGGUGCGAAAGCGUGGGGAGCAAACA
rnacentral:rRNA from 1 species